GUCUCCCGCAUGUAUCGUAUUUUCGUGCAUAUUUUUAAUUGCGAUGUUGCGCUUUAUUCUUAUUUUAUUAAAAAAUACGCUAAAGUAAAAAAUCACGGUGGACCACCAUUGAACUGUCUUCAAUAUGAUAAGGAAUAGUAACAUUAGGGUGAGCGAACAAGCAAUGAAAUAUGAGAAAAAUAAGAAAUAGGCGGGACCACACAAAACGAACAGCCUCGCGAGGAAAUUGCCGCGCGAAGCAGCUCGGUGUGUCGACGUGCCUCGGCCGCAUUGCCUCGGGCGAGGCUAGUAUAUACAGACCGAACGGCUUUUUGCGGCAAUUUCCUCACGAGGCGGCUUGUUCUGUGUGGACCCGCCUAAUAACGUAGACAUGUAAAUUUGUUUAUUGCCUAACCGACGCCUCGACUAUAUUCGGUUUGUUUAGUUCUCGUAACGUUCAGUUGCGCUAGGUUUUACAGCCCUGACUUUAAUUUAAUUAGAAUUAGGCAGUAAAUAGGUGAAGGUCGGAAUUAUGUGUUUAUCUGUAAAUAGUCUUAAAGAAUCACAUGUGUACAAAUAAAAUAUAUUUAUGAUAAUAUAGUGAUGCAAACAUGGAAAUAAAUAUUUUGUGACAUGGUGUAUAGUUAAGCGACAGUAAACUAGUUGCAGCCAGCUAUUUUCAGUAUGUUACGUAAAGAGAUGCUCACAGGGCUUCACACAGUUCUUGCAUCAUGUCACUCUUGAGAGCGGACUCCGGACACGAACAGUGUCGUACGUUAACCUUUACGUAGUGGAAAUUAGGGUUAAAAUAAUUGAUGCUACGAAAAACUGGAAACAAUCUUUUAAAGUGAUAAAAGGUUGCCAGUAGAUCUAAUAUAGCAAUUCUAACUAUAGGUAGGUAGUAUGCAGUGAGAAUCAGAACAGUAGAGCUAGUAGUUGGGUUAGAAUUUCUAUCUUACUUUGGCAAUUCUUUAUAGCUUGAAAAGUUUGUCUCGCUCAGGACAGUCUACAACCAUACUGGCGUCGCGCAUUCUCAUUUCAUGUAGGUGCGACAGCAAUAUGCGUGCAAGUGAGACAUGUAGUAAAGGUCAAUGUCCGAAAUAGUUGGUGGUCGGCGGCCGCACUUUACUCGCACAUAUCAACUGUCCACCCCACUCACCGCUCGCUCGUGUAACAAACGCACAAAUACAUAUAGCAUAGUAAACUAUACAUUAGCGCAGAUAACUUAUGUAAUAGAUAUGCAAAGUCCCAUAUACCCAUACAUGAGGCGGGGAUAAAUAGGAAUAAUUCAUAUGAAUACACCUAUUCCACCACAGAUAUGCCCGGAAAUGGGAACACACCGAUAAAAUAGCUCUAGGUAGCACUGAUUCGGCGCCAUAUAUUUUGGACACUGCAAUUUGUCGCGGUAAGCGGAGCGAUAUAUCACAGGCCCGCGCGGCGAUGCGUCAUCAGUGUCAUGCCCCCCUUAGUAACAAACAGAUCUAGCGGUAGCGUGUCAAGCCAAGUUCAAAAGAACAGAGCCCGAGCUGCUUCGCGCGGCAAUUUCCUCGCGAGGCGGCUCUUCUGUGUGGACCCGCCUAAUCAACAUCACUAACAAUAUACGAGGUACGGCGCCGUGUUUACCACCCCCAAUAAAGUUGUAUCAUAGCUUGUUUCUUUAUAAUGGUUUUGCAAGUCUAUUAAUUUAGCUAUCUGUGGCAUUAGGUGGUUAGUUUCAUCAAAAGUUCAUUCUAAUAUAAAGAUCUGAGAAGUACUCGCAUUUUGACCAAUUAUCAAAAAUGUUAUUAUAAUACUGUAAUAGCGAUACUGGACAAUAGAAAAAUGCAAUUUUCAGUCAACUCUUAUCAGAAAACACUGGCAAAAGGUACAAUUGAAUUAUAGUUUUACUGCAUACUUAUAAGUAAAGAAAUCUUUAAAGUGUAGUAGUUAGUGGUACUAUGCCCGAUGGAGGGUUACAGCAUAAAUAAUUAAACUAACAUAGGUUCUGUUUAGAUGUUAAGUCCCGUAGCCUGUAUUUAUAUCAAUCUAAGACCUCAGACAAGUUAUCAAGUGCAAGGAUCUCGGUGUAAUAUGGACAAUAAGAGUUACCAGUUUGUGCAAGACUUGUUGCAAUUGCGAACAUGUCUGCCUUCGACAUAAGGCAGGUACACUUGUAAAACAAAGUAUUAAUUGCUCAUGUUCAACCAAUCUUUGCCGUGUUAAUUGUUUGUGUAAAUAUUUCUGAUUGUACAUACUAUGUAUGCUGUGUGUAGAACCUUAGCUUAGAAUGUUUCACGUUUUUAGUGUUGUAAGGCAAAUUAUCAAAUACGAGUGAGUACAUUUCUACCGACGCGUUCGGUUUAGGUGUCAAUAGACUUUGUGUUAGACAUUGUUAGAGAUAAAGCUUUGGUUUCUACCUCUAUUCAGAAUGUCUGAAAUAUUUAAAAUGUUGGUAUAUCUUGCAAUCUGCAGGCUAGUGUUAUUUUUAUGAUGGUGCGUUAUGUGUAAUAUUGUAAGCAUGAAAAUUAAAACAACUUCGUGGCUAUGAACUUAAACAUAAAAUGUGAAUUCUUAUGUAACUCUGGUAUGCAUGGAGAAUUCUCGUUUAUUUUGGUUCAUUUUAAAAUGUGUAUGUUGCAAAUGAGUUAAACUAAUAUUAUAGUUUAGUUAAUUAUUAUAUUUUACAUGUGUACAUAAUUGUAUCGUAGACUAAGUAGUCGAUUUGAAAUCAUUUCAUGGCUCACCGAGCUUGCAACUCUAACGCAAGAUAUAUUAUGCGUUUUCAGGUCUUAAAAUAUGCCUGCAACGCACUUGGUUGUCGUCAUUUUCAUUUGCGAUAUAAAGGCAAAAGAUACAACACGAUAAGUUAGGCAAAUAGACCAAGUGUGUUACGGCAUUAGGGAACGCGUAGGAAUUCAAUGUCUGAAGCACACUACUUAAUAUUUACUCCGAUUUUCAUGGCAAUAUUGUCACUGGUCUAUAUGUAUUACAAUAAUUCUGUACAGUUCUACAAUCAUGUACGAUUAUGCUUACAUCACAUUAUAAGUACCUAUAUCUGGGAACGUAUUUGGAAUAAUUGUAUUCAGGGCUUGAAGGCUAGCACAGCAGAUGCCUUAGCGCGAAACUAAAUAUUUAAUUCAUCACUAUCUGACUAUUUGAUAAGUGUGUCUAAUGUCAUGUGACGUACAUAAACCAUCUCUGUAUGAAGUUAGAACAAUGCAUAAAACAGCGUGUGGUGUGGCCUGUUGUGCUAACAACAAGUCCUUUUAUGCUUAGCCGCAGAAUAACAGUCCGACCUGUAUAUAAAAUGAUGAUUUAUCUAGUGGAAACAGUGAAAGCAUUUGUGUCGGAUCUGUAUUGUGACACCCAAGGAGCAUACAUUCAAACUAGAUGUUUCGUCCGGGCCAUUCCGUUCCGAUGAAGUAUUUAUUCAAGGGAAUUUAUUAAUACAACUUUACAUCUAUUUUAAAGAGAUUCGCCGCAUAAAGAGAGCAAUUUUGACGUGACGUCAUUCAAAGUGAUACUUCGCAUCUCGUGAGUGGCCUAGACGGAGCGUCUAGUUGGAAAAUACGGUCCUUGGUGGCGGGAAUACAUUUCAAAAUUCGUUAUUUCCCAUUGUAGCAUCGUUCGGGCAUGUAUCUUGUCAAGUAGAUUGUUUUAUGUAAUUUAAUGUUCAACUAGCAUUACUUCUCUUUACAGAUGAGACACUUUGCUGUAAUAGUAUCCUUUAUUCGCUUACGACUGUAUGUAUUAUAUACGAACUAAAACAAUAUGUUGUCGGUUAUUAUCGUUUGGAGAAUGCCUUAAUAUUUGUGAAGAUGAAAUGUUAUCUCCGAAUGGCAUUAGUACCUAGCGUGAAAUAAUGAAAAUUAUAAUAUUAUUGUGCCUGAAUGUCGCGUACUUAAACGCUAAAAUUUCCUAAGUGGAUUUAAAAUCCGAUAAAAUUAAUUUCUAUUAUACUUCCCACUACAGUUUUAUUUAUAUUCUUUCUUUUUCCAUAGUGCAAUAUCCAAUCGCAAAAUUCGUAGUUUUUUCUUCAAAACUUAGAUAUGAUAGGGCUGUAAAAUAAGGUUUAAAUUAGUUUAAUGUUAGAAGAUCCUAAAGUGCACUAAAAGCAUAAUAGGGAGUAUAUUACGUUGUGCUCUGACGAGUGUGUGUACAACCAGCAAGACUGUCAAUUGCUGUAGAUAUCCUCUUUAUAAUAGUUAUAUGAUAUAGUAUUUUUAUUAGACAAAAAUACAAUAAAUGUGUGAAGUCCAAUAUAA